AGGGAUAUGGUGUAGUGGUUAUCACGUCCGCCUCACACGCGGAAGGUCUUGGGUUCAAUCCCCAAUAUUCCUA